rnacentral:lncRNA from 1 species
UUUACAGGCAUGAGCCACCCCACCCGGUCAGUGUUUUUGUUUUUUUCGGUCUGGAGUGCAGUGGCGCAAUUUCCACUCACUGUAGCCUCCACCUCCCGAGUUCAAGUGAUUCUCCUGCCUCAGCCUACCGUGUAGCUGGGAUUCCAGGUGCCCGCCACCACGCCCCGCUAAUUUUUGUAUUUUUAGUAGAGACGGGGUUUCACCACGUUGGCCACGAACUCCUGACCUCAAGUGAUCCGCCUGCCUCGGCCUUACAAAGUGCUGGGAUUACAGGCGUGAGCCACCGCACCCGGCCCUCCCCUCUCUGAACAGGAUUGCCUACUCUGUCCUCCGACUCCCAGAGCUUUUCACUGACACCUGGGGACUGCUGGGUCCCUCCUUCUCUCCUAGCCUGCCCAGGGCCACCCCAAGCCUGCAGUAGAUUUUCAUUUAUCUCUGUAAGAACGUUUACAAGGACAUGGAGCAAAUUAGCAUCACACAAAUGACGAUGCUGCAAAUGAGCGGUGUACAGGGUUGGCGGGUGUUGCAGGCAGGUUUCCUGUCGUUGGCGCCACGUGCUGCAGAAAGAGGACCCCUCCCCCUGCGGGCCGCCGCUGCGCCCGUGCAUCCGUCACAGGUACAAUUCGCACCGGAACUUGCGGCCCGGCUUCAUUACGUGAUGCUUUUUAGCUGCUCUGGUUUCUUUUUGUUUUUUCUACUUUUCUCAUUUGUUUGUGUUGUUAGGGACCGCCUAGUGAGAAAUUGAGCUUCAGGCUGCGCAGAUAGAAAGGCCUCUAUAUCUGCAUCCCCACCCCUGUGGGGGUGGCGGGGGGUGGUGGGGGGGUCCUGUCUGAAGUGGUAGGGAAGGAGGGUUUUGAGGUUUUUGACUAUUUGCUUGCAAGUAUCUAAGUAAGAGAUUUGUUUGCCCACAUUUGCACUCUCUUGGCUAGCAACCCGACAAAAUAUUUUCUGAUGGUUUUUCGUGUAUGUGGUUUUUGUUUUUGAGGGAGAGAAUAAUUAACACCUUGGUUAAAUUGUACUGAGAUACAAUGGCUGUUUUUAAAAAUUGCUGUUAACUGAAGGGUUGAAGCUAGUAUAAUUCCCAGGCUCAGCCUCUUGGGAGGCUGAGUCUCCAAUAGCAUAGUCUUCAAUAGACUAUGCUGUGAAUUGUAAUCAGAAAAGAAAAAAAAAUUAGACACGAGCAAAAGCAAUUAAAGUAUUUAUUCUCCAAUAUUCGCAUUUCUGCAUUUGUCAGCAGCUGUGGAACUGUCACAAGAUAUGCUGAUUUGGUUGUGGUAUGUGCCUGUCUGGGGAGGGGAGGAGGAGGAUGAAGGCAGACUGUAAACAAAUCAUUAUUGUAAAGUGAUCAGUGGGUAAUAGAGGCGUGUAUAGAGUGCAUAGAGAAGGGACUCACUCAUUUUAAGCAAUGUUUUUCAAAUGGGGUCACCUCCAUUAGUGAAUCAUGAAGUCCUUUACCAAGUGCCUAACAGCAUUUGAAAAAAUAAAGACAAUAUAGAAUGAAAUACAUCAAGAUGCAUCCUCCAUAGUAGGUUUAGAUAUUUUUUUUUCAAAAACCUUUGUUUCAAUUAUAUAUCUACUGAAUUACAAUGUGAAAUGUGUUUCUUGGGAUUGAGUCUCAAGCAAAGAUGUUUGAAAGCCACUGAGUUAGGCGACGGGAGAAGGCUUCCCAGAGGAGGUGGCAUUGGAGCUGGGCCUUGAAGAAUGGUGGACUUGUGCCACAGGAAAAGGGAAUUCCAGGCAGAUGGGAAAGGAUAUGUCCAAAUCUGGAUCUGUUUGUUCAGGGGCAGGGUAUUCUCUGUAAAGGGACCACAGGGUACUAGGAGAGGACUGGCUCGAGAUGUGCCUGGGGAGGCAGGUGGAGCCAAUUACCGAGCCACUUGAAAGUACAUAUACCACUUCUCAGCUUGCCCUAGAAAUUCCCAUUCUCUGGUUAUGGAUUUGGGUUUGGGAAUCUGUACUUGCAAUAAACAUCCCUGGGCAGUGAGGCAGUGAGGUGCUGAUGAAGGUGUGACACAACCAGCUCUAGAAUCUAGAAAGAUGAUCUUUGUAGCAAUUUGGAUAGGAGAUCAAUGGGAGGCCAAGCAAUAGGCGGACCUGAAUUCAGGUGAUGGUAAUUGGCAAAGAAUUACCAUUGAGGGAGGAUGGUAUUCGAGGGAGAUUUUGGAAGUGAGUUUUGUAGGGACCAAGGGAAAGCUUCACCUCCGCCCUGUGAAAGUUUGCUGAAAAUGAACUGGCAGUAGACAGAUUAAGAGGAGAAAAGACAUAACAAUUUAUUUAAUAUUUAACAUGUAUAGCAUGGGGGAAUAGCAGGAGAAUGAUUACCCAAUAACCCAAUGAGGUCCAGGUGCCUAAGUACCCUUCUUCACAGAAGAAGGGGAGAUGGGGAGUGGAGCAAUUUUUUUUUUUUUUUGAGACGGAGUCUUGCUCUGUCGCCCGGGC